rnacentral:rRNA from 1 species
UGAGAGUUUGAUCCUGGCUCAGGACGAACGCUGGCGGCGUGCCUAAUACAUGCAAGUCGAACGCUUUUUCUUUCACCGGAGCUUGCUCCACCGAAAGAAAAAGAGUGGCGAACGGGUGAGUAACACGUGGGUAACCUGCCCAUCAGAAGGGGAUAACACUUGGAAACAGGUGCUAAUACCGUAUAACACUAUUUUCCGCAUGGAAGAAAGUUGAAAGGCGCUUUUGCGUCACUGAUGGAUGGACCCGCGGUGCAUUAGCUAGUUGGUGAGGUAACGGCUCACCAAGGCAACGAUGCAUAGCCGACCUGAGAGGGUGAUCGGCCACACUGGGACUGAGACACGGCCCAGACUCCUACGGGAGGCAGCAGUAGGGAAUCUUCGGCAAUGGACGAAAGUCUGACCGAGCAACGCCGCGUGAGUGAAGAAGGUUUUCGGAUCGUAAAACUCUGUUGUUAGAGAAGAACAAGGAUGAGAGUAGAACGUUCAUCCCUUGACGGUAUCUAACCAGAAAGCCACGGCUAACUACGUGCCAGCAGCCGCGGUAAUACGUAGGUGGCAAGCGUUGUCCGGAUUUAUUGGGCGUAAAGCGAGCGCAGGCGGUUUCUUAAGUCUGAUGUGAAAGCCCCCGGCUCAACCGGGGAGGGUCAUUGGAAACUGGGAGACUUGAGUGCAGAAGAGGAGAGUGGAAUUCCAUGUGUAGCGGUGAAAUGCGUAGAUAUAUGGAGGAAC